UUGGCUCUCGCAUCGAUGAAGAACGCAGCGAAAUGCGAUAAGUAAUGUGAAUUGCAGAAUUCAGUGAAUCAUCGAAUCUUUGAACGCACCUUGCGCCCCUUGGUAUUCCGAGGGGCAUGCCUGUUUGAGUGUCAUUAAAUUCUCAACCUUACUAGC
rnacentral:rRNA from 1 species